AGAAAUAAGCAAUUUUUGAGAAAUGAAUAGGGAAAUGGAAAUAUGUGCGGGGAAUAUCGGUAGCGUCGUCGGGGAUUUACCGUCACUCCGCUUUAAUCCAGAAAUAAUCCGAAACAAAUAUUUAUAUUAAUUAUCCUAAUUUCCGCUAACGAUGUUGUUUUGCCGAGAUCUUGAACUUUCUUCUUUUCUUUUUUUUUUUUUUUUUCUUUUUUUAAUUAUCAUUAAUCCGGAUAACGAACAUUUCUUAUCGCUAUAACCCAAUUAGAGGUCGAGUAUUAUGUAAUAAUUAGUCGACUUUUCCCCCUUUCCCGGCCCGUAUCUUUACGCAAGAACAUAAAAGAGGUGUACUUUAUCCGAUAGCGUGUGUGCAUUGAUUGGUUUGUUGACAUCGUUGUUGGGAACCCGACGUAAUCCUACGUGUCUCCUCUCACGUAGAGAUAAUGCUUUUGAUUCUUGGGCGUGAUUAAAUACGUAGCUUUAUCGUUAUAAUAAACUCGAUUAAUAGAUCGAGAGCAUUAUCGAAGCGUUUAUCCUUUUCUUUUUUUUUUUCCUAUUUAUCUCUUUUUGUCCAUCUUGAAAAAUCUGGAGAUUUCGACGUGCUUCUUCUUUCUCUUACGUUUCUUCCCUUUUUCUUUUUCUUUUUCUUUCGUUUUUCUUAUCCCCCUUUUUUCGAUUCAUUUCUUUCCCUAAGGAUAUCCUCUUUAAUAACAACGUGAAAGUGAAGUGAAAAAUCGAACGAAAGGAAACAAAGUAAAAAAAAAAAAGAAUUAAAGAGGAGAAAAAGGGAAAAAGAAUAGAACGGAGAGAGGAAGGGGGAGGGAGGAAAGGAAUCGGCGGUGAAAUUAAUUAUCAGAGUAGUCGCGAUAGUGGUUUAUCAAUUUUAAUUACCUCUGGCUUAACGAACUCUUAAUUAGAAACGGAGACUCAUAAUUAACAUCUACGAGGAGCAAUUUAUUUUUAUCGCUAGAUAACAAUUGGGCGAGUGUAAGAAUAGCUGUGAUACGGAUUUACGAGUGAACGAGCCGUUGCAAGUUUUCUAAAUAUACAUAGUUACACGAUAAAGAGUGUACACGAUAGCGAAGCGUUGACUUCGAAAGAGUAGUUUCUCCUCGUAGCUUCUUUCCGCUAUCUUCCUCCUCUUCCCCUUUCUCCUCCACCGCUCUCUUUCUCGCUCUCUAAUAUUUCCCGGCCGCAUUAGCAUUUUGAGUGGCCGGCUGACAUAAAUUUAUUCUUAGGUUUCCAUUAAGUCUGGCGGACAGUUAUCCCAAACAGUUUCCCCGGCCCUUCCGCUUCCACGUUUAUAUCACGUUCAUUUCACGUUCCGGAAAAUAAAGCCACUCCGGCGAUAUACCUGUGAAUCCUUCCCAACUGUUUCCGUUCUGAUAUACUAUCGAUUUUCUAUCGUGAUUAAAAAAUUUUUAUUGAAAUUAAAGAUUUCGGAAAAACGAGACGAGGAGUAAACAAUGAUACAAUCAAUUUUCCAAGUAUAAAUAAUUUCGAAAUGGAUCUGUUUUUCGCGUUUUCUACGUUUCACGAAUCGAUUAUCGCGCGAAUUUCCUUGACCUGUUUCCUUAACCCUUUAAAUAUCUAGCGAUUUCUUAUUAUUCGAGCAAAAACAAGAUCAAAAUAAAAUUCUCAGCUUAUCGGAGCAAGAUAAUUCAUUUUCGAUUCGUAAAGACUAAAACAUGUUAUCGUGCAUGUUUUUGCAGAUACCUACGGUUGAUAGAAACAAUCAAAUCAUCGAUAGUUAAAGAAGCGUAUUGAUGGAUAUGAAAAUAUCAGGAGUUACCGUUUGGUGGUAAGGUUAAGGGUUGAUUUGACUCGCAGAGAGCGCGUCACCUUCCUUAUCGACGGAAUUCAACUCAAUGUUUCGACGAUGCGAGAAACUUGCGCUUGUUCGCAACCAGAUGUCAGUCUCUCCUUAACCAAGUGAUACAAUGGAUAAAGAGCGGAUCGAACAAGACUUGUUGAAAUCUCUGCAAAUAAGAACCAAUCGGUGGAUGGAAAUUUCACGAUGGUUUAAGUUACGUAUCGUACAAAUGAACCUAUGUAUAAGAAUGAAUUUUACAAAGCGGCGAUACGUGAUUAAAAUGUACACACUUUUUACAGACAUCUCGAGCCAGCUACGCCAACUCAAGAAUACAUAGUGUAACCGUGAUUAAAGUACGAAGAUUAGCCAUGAAACGACCACGAAAGGACACGGGAGACAGGAGGGAAAAUCGUCAAAGAUAUUUACAUAUUUACAAAGAAAGUGAAGUAGAGUGGAAGCCAUAAGGAUGAGCAAGCCGACCGGUGAGGGAAUAAGUGAAUGAGAGAAAGAGAGAGAAAGAGAGAGGGGGGCGGAGGAGGAGGGGGAGAACAGUUUCAAUUUGCAUGAUGGCCGUGUGGCUUCGCCAGGAUAACUGUAAUCUCUCUCGACGUCACGAGAGAAGAGUAAAUUUUAUCGCAGCCAUCCCGGAAUCGCAGUCAGACGGAAAGACAGCCGGGGAUCGGAGGUCCUGGAAGGCUUUUGCCAAAGGGGCAAAAGCUCAACCUUUCAUAUCCAUGUUUGCACUGGGCGAAAGCAGCCAGGAGGUACGGAGAGGCCAGAGUCCGCAAGGACGGAAGUAAGUAUACAUUCGGCCUUUACCUCUCUCUCUCUGUAUCAACCUACAGACCUGCCGACCUGUCUGCCUACCAACCUUUUCAAGGCGUAAUUAAAUGGCGGCGUGCUGCUGCGCGACCUUUUCGCGAGUAUGCCCUAGGUUGUCUGCGUGUAAACGUGCAAUGGAAAUCGUGGCACACCGACGGGGGCUGGGAAAAGUGCGUUUAAUUCCAUUUGAAUCGCACUGUGCACCAAGAGAGGGAGAGAGAGAGAGAGAGUGGUGUCGAGCCGUGUGAUUUCCCGUUCACUGGAGAAUCGACAGACAUGUAAGAUCUCGUUCAGCCUCUUUCUUUUCUACAGAGUUGGCUACGGUGACAACUCGGUGUCAAACUCGUUGAGACGGAGCGUCGCUCGAGAUUAAACCGACGAUGCCAUCGUCACACCUGUUUGCUGCGAAAUUCUUCAUUGUUUCACACGGUUCUUGAUACCUAAGCGAGAUACUGUACCCAUCCCUUUGCCACGAUACGAUGGGUUCUGCAUUGAUUCGACGAGUUCCGUUCAAACGAUGACGAUUAUUAUUUCGUUUCGGGAUGAGGCCAGGCAAAGGCGAUGCACUCCCAUUGGAAUAGAAUCAGUUUUUCCCGUUGGACGGUUUCCAGAGCUUUGACGAAAUUCGAUUUUAACUCCGACUCUGGAUCACACUUAUCUAGAAGCAAAAUAUGAAUUUCUUUGAUUCCUCACGGAAGAAUAAAUCGUUCGGUUGGCGCGAAUAAAAAUAGUGACGAAAGAAUCUUUCGUUCUUUCUUUCAACGGUGAUUUCGACGAAACGGAAGACGAAGAAAAGGGGGAGGGGCGAAAGGAAUAAGAGAAAAGAAUUCUCUUUUCAUUUCUCCGCUUGCCCCCUCCUGUCCUCACCUCCGGAAGCAAAAACCGAUACGGACCCCCACGAGGAGAACUCGAAACAUUAAAGAAAGCGCACGGUUGUUAAUGCAAAAAUGCAAAGGUAUACAAUAUGACGGGGUCAUUAUUUGAAAAGUACAGUUGAGCUUCGACCAGGCCGGGGAAGUUGUUUGAGUAAUAAAGAGCGAAAGGUUCGCAGGGGCUGUGAGGACCUCGACAUCGCAGCCGUGCCUUUGAUCAAUUUACCGGCGUUUCCCCCGACUAAACGCGCGCUGAUCUCCCAUGAAUAUGGAGAAUCCGUCAGCAGAGGUUACACCGAGGUACCACCGACUACCGUCAUCUAAUUGUCGUCUUUUAAGCCUUCGAGGUGCGACGUCGCGCUGCCUCGAAAUUCCUCCAAGAACGAAUCAUCCUCGAUAUCAAUCGGUCUCACCCCUUCCCUUCCCCCUAUCGAUCUAAACAUGGAUCAAUUUCCAAUCCGAACCGAACUUCGUCGUUUUAUAUUAAACUUCUUUUCACUUUUUUUACAAUUCAGAAGAGAGAAAGAAGAUCCGAUCUAUCUUUCACGUGGUGGUACGAUGAAAAAUACGAAUUUCUUUCUUUUUUUUUUUUUUUAACGGAAUCAAAGGAUGAGAUAUGCAUAUGUUCCAGUUAAAUAAUGGAUCUUUUUUUACAUACGCUAUUGUAUCCAUUAUUCGCAGCAAAGGACGCCGUUUUGGUCCAGUGACUCGGAUACGAAGAAAUCCUCCCCCUAACGAGACAAUGAAUUCGUUUGAUAAACAGGAACCGAAAAAAAGAACGCAACGUAUCCGUUUCUCUUUCUCUCUCUUUCUCUCUACGUGUUUACGUGUGUUGCGCGCAAAGGGGUGGAGGGAGGAGGAACAAGGGGGGAGGGGGAGCGAAUACGAAAAAACAAUCGCACAGGCGUCAUUCCUUUACCAACCGAUGACUGCGAGCACCAGAGCAUGCACGGUUAAGAGUACCUUCGACUCUCUGAAGCGUUCUCCAAGUGGAUAAAAUAACAGUGGGGCGUGCGUGCGCGGGGGUGGUAGUUCUGGAGGCCGGCAUAGAUCAAAGCUAAGCUGCGGGGGUGACCGACGACCUACCGACGAGAGAAUACCGACUCGCGACUCCAUUUCUCUCUCUCGAUCUCGAUCUCGAUCUCUCUCCCUUCCUCUCCCCCAUUCCUCUACCUUUAUUUCGUCGAGCCUCGUCCUUAUUCGUCCCGUGCAUUCGCUUGCACUCCAACUCGUUCAAGUGGCAUCGGCUCUCGAGAAUCGAGAAAGGAAUAAAGAACGGUCGCGGCCUCAUGCGUAAAACGAUGCCACUGCAAACAAUCCCCCUCCGAUUUGUUUAGGUAUAACAAUCUGUCUCACCCCAUCGGGAAGACCCUCUUCUUCUUCUUCUUCUUCUUCUUCCUCUUCCUCCUACUCCUUCUCCUGAUACUCCUCGUUUCGUCUUCUUUUCAAUUUACAUGCACUUGCAGAGCCCUGCCAAUCGACCGACUGACCAAACGACUUUGAACUUUUAUUUUUCGAGCAUCUCGUUUCUUUCUUUUUUUUUUUUUCUUUUUUUUUGGACGGAAUUUAAUUAUCCGUUCUUCUCUCCUUCCUUUUCCGCUCUUCCAGAUUUCCGCCGAAUCGAAGCGAUCGAGGAGGAUUGAACAGGUUGAGGAGGGACGGAAUGAAAAAUCGGUUGUCGUAGGACAAGGGAAUAUUCUCGUUUUUCCUUCUCUUCGGGUGCGUCUACGAUUAUCACCGCUAUAUAGCGGUAGAUUUCUCGUGACACGUUGAAUCGAGGGAUCCCCCACGACUGAUUAGCUGUUAUCGCAAUAAUAGGUGACGUGACGUGUAUGCGGAAGUCUCCCUCUCGGGAAGAGGGGAGAGGAAGAGGGGGUUGAAGUCCAUUGUCUUUCGAUCGGGCGUCCUUUUCUAAUUCGCCGCCUGCCAAUUCCUCCUGGUACAGAGGCACCCGAGACUCCGUACUCGAUCGGAUCUCUCCAUGAAAAAUCGAAAAAAAGCCUUGGGCAUGUCUCCGUUGCGUCGAUCGAUCAACGGGAUUUUCGCUCGUCGAAAGAAAGAAAGAAAGAAAGAAAGAAAGGGAGGAAGGAGGGAGGAAGGCGAAAAGGAGAGAAAGGAAGAAAGGAGGGAGAAACGGAAACGCGGUUCUCGUACUCGCGUCAAUCUCGCGUCCCGUAGUUUCGUGAUAUAAAACGGAAACUCUUCAAAGGGAACUCGAUUGUCCCUCUUGGCUGACAAUUUAUCUAAUUGCUAUCGUUUUCUAUGCGCAGACGGUUUACUUUUGUUUCCGUGGUCCGUCAGUCUUUCAUCUCUCUUAUGUUCGCGGAGGGUGUUACCAAGUGGAAGAACUCUUGGUGCGGGGUUGAAGUGUCAGGAUCGGUAAAACAAUAAACCGCCGCUAUUACUUUUGCCGGAUAAUCAGCCAAUCACGGAAUCGGCGUCGUUCGUGAUCCUCUUAAGGGCGGCUUUUCGAGAGCGAGCGAAGCUCGUUAUCGCGUCUUAAUCCGGGCAAAUCCUUUCAACUUUCAGCCGUGUCUACGCUUUUCCAACCUAACUAAAGGAUUCUUCUGUAAGCAUGCCAUCUCUCUCUCUCUCUCUCUCUCUCUCUCUCUCUCUCUCUCUCUCUCUCUGUCCUGUUUCCCUUCCCAUCGCUCUCCUUCCUCCCUCGAGAAUUUCAUCCGGUGUCUCUGUUUCCUUGCUCCACCCUGGAUCCCUCCCUCAGACUUCUCUCCACCGUUCUUUAUCUUCCCCGGGCAGCAGCUCGUCGCGCGAUUAUUCCGUUUCCGUUCGCGGCGAGCAACUUGGCCGGGUUGCAUUAACGAGUGUCAUGGAAAUUAGUGGAGUAAGGUAAACGCGGAAAUUAAAGCGUUUGCGCGUCAAAGAAUCAGCGGGAGGAGGAAAAUAGAGGAUAAACGCGUCGAUUUGAUUUAAUCGAAAUAAAAUAAAAAAAUAGGAAAAUAAAAAAAUGGCGACUGAUCACUUCGUUCGCUAAUUUAACAGAAAAAGAAACGAAGGGAUAAUGUUCGAAGAAUGGAGAGAAUAUUUUUUAAUAUACAAUAUCUCGAUCGACGAGAGAGAGAGAAGAGAAGGAUUUUUCUGGAAACGGAGCACAGUUUGCGCGUGUUCUUUUCUUUCGCGGAUGAAAACCAUCGCUCGGCCAACAAGAGGUUAAAAUGGAGGCUGUGAUGCGAACAAACCUUAGGCGUGGAAGAGGGUCCGGAAUAGCAGAGGCAACAGCAGUGCCAGAGGCCGGUUCAGGGGUUGGGUGUGAAGAAGGAACGCUAAGGGAUAGGAACGGAUGGAGAAUGGAUAUGGGGGGAUGAAACACGGGGUUGGCUAGAUAGAUGGGCUGGUGGAUGGUUGGCUGCUUAGCCAGUAGGUUCCUCAUUACCGAGAACGCUCUAUUCACACCUUCUCUAGAACUUUAGGGAUGUAUACGAACCACGCCUGAUUUUUCUUCUCUCGCGUUUCACGUUUUCUUCUUCUUUUUUUCUUUUUCAAUUUUUUUUAUUAUAAUUUGAUGAUUUCAUGUGUAAUAAUACAAAUGUUUUUAUUUUUUUUAAUUUCACGUAAUUGAGCAGUCGGAUUAUAUAUAUAUACA